GAUCAUGGCUCAGGAUGAACGCUGGCGGCGUGCUUAACACAUGCAAGUCGAACGGAACUCCUAUGAUUGAGGUUUCGGCCAAAAGAAUAGGAUGUUUAGUGGCGGACGGGUGAGUAACGCGUGAGUAACCUGCCUUGGAGUGGGGAAUAACACAGUGAAAACUGUGCUAAUACCGCAUAAGCGCACAGGAUCGCAUGAUCCGGUAUGAAAAACUCCGGUGGUAUGGGAUGGACCCGCGU
rnacentral:rRNA from 1 species